rnacentral:rRNA from 1 species
AUUGACCCNGNGGGUUAUGCCGCAACAGAGCGCAACCCCUGUCCCUUGUUGCCAGCGAGUAAUGUCGGGGACUCAUGGGAGACUGCCGGUGACAAAUCGGAGGAAGGUGGGGAUGAUGUCAAGUCAUCAUGCCCCUUAUGUCCUGGGCUACACACGUGCUACAUUGGCCGGUACAAAGGGCUGCAAACUUGUGAGAGUGAGCGAAUCCCAAAAAGCCGGUCCCGGUUCGGAUUGAAGGCUGAAACUCGCCUUCAUGAAGGCGGAGUUGCUAGUAAUCGCGGAUCAGCAACGCCGCGGUGAAUACGUACACGGGGCCUGUACACACCGCCCGUCACACCACGANGUCGGCAAUACCCGAAGCCGGUGAGCUAACCCCUCGGGGAGGCAGCUGUCAAACGUAGGGUUGAUGAUUGGGGUGAAGUCGUAACAAGGUAGCCGUAGCGGAAGCUGCGGCUGGAUCACCAUCCUUUCUAGGGAAUACCGGUAGCUCUUACUCCGGGUAGG